rnacentral:RNase_P_RNA from 2 species
UGAGUCGGAAAGAUGAUCGCAAAUACCCUUGCGUAUUUGAGGAAAGUCCGAGCUCCAUAGGGCAGGGUGCUGGAUAACGUCCAGCGAGGGUGACCUCAGGGAAAGUGCCACAGAAAUGUAGACCGCCUGGAUAGCAGGCAAGGAUGGAACGGUGCGGUAAGAGCGCACCAGCAAUCAGGUGACUGAUUGGCUAGGUAAACCCCACCUGGAGCAAGACCGAAUAGGGAAGGGAUGAAGCUGCCCGCUGAGCCUUCCGGGUUGCGUCGCUUGAAUCGUCAGGUAACUGACGGUCUAGAUAAAUGAUCAUCGCCGCUUUUGCGGAACAGAACUCGGCUUAUUGAUGGCUCAUAAU